rnacentral:sRNA from 1 species
CAUGGUUUUCACUUCCAGCUGUACAGUGCAAGGUCAUGCGAGGUAGCGCCCUUAACGGAAACCUUGAAGUCCAGUGGUAGUUUUACAGCUCAGGAAUCCCUUAGAUGAGUGGUUGCUUCAUGCUGUUAACGACUCACCGAACAGGAAUAAAACAGGGGUUCUUAUGAAUGAAUAUCAAUAAUCAAAGAUAUUCAUAAUUUUGACUUUCAAUUAUUAUUUUUCCAAAGGCACAUGUGUGACCUCAUUUCUUAGAAAUCUCAUGUUUCUGUUAAAUAGAAAUUGACUACAUUAAUUCCACGGAGAUGUCGUAGUGUCCCUGGAUGGAUGAUUUUGGUUUUAUUCAGGAAUGCACAUUCUUUAGAGUGUGUGCAGCCCUGAAGGCGAUGAGAAGAAUCCUAGCAGAGUUCUUCCGGAGGUUAGCAGAACCCCCCUAAAGUAUUUUGUAAGGUAUUGUUUGCAUCUGGGACAUAACUGUGUUCUUAUCUGCUUCCGGAGUGGAUUCUCUAUUUAUCUGAGCUGUAAACAGCUCCCAGAGGUCAGCCUGCCCCUGAAGAGAAGACUGGUCCCUGUCUAGUCAAAGCUACGUCUCUGCUGUGGAGGUCACCUCUCCUUCUCUGCCAUUUCUCAGAAUCCAUCCAUUCAACUCUGACUUUUGAAGAGUGGGGAAUGAAUUUCUGCUCUCCGUUCAUUACGUGCUGUUUGCUUUGAAACCUAACAAAUCUAAAGACGUUGAAUACUGUUCUCUCUAAAUAUUUUAUCAUUAUAAAAGCUAAAUAAAGGCUCAUUGUGGAAAGUUUGGAAAUUUCCGAAUAUUAUAAAAUAAUAUAAACUAGUCACAGAAGCGCCCAAGUCAUCCCUUCUAACCAGCCUUUUGCUUCAUUCACAUGUUUAUUGUGAAUAUGUAUGUUUAUUAGUUCUUUAAGAACUGUAUACAUUGUAUUUUGAUCUUAUUCACACUUUUUGAACCCCUCCCACAUAGAUUCCACUUCCUGCCCUCCCAACUUCAUGUCAUUUAAAACAAAACAAAACACGGAGUUCAGUUUGCACUGCCCAUAUACUCUUGGAUGAGCGGCUUACCAUUGAACAUGGUAGACUUCCCAAAGGCCACAACCUUAAGAGGAACUGGCUUCUCUCCCUUCCUGUAGCUAUUAGUUGCUAACAGUGGUGGUGGGAGGGAUUUGUGCCCACCAUCACCCCUCUUCAUGCUGUGUAGAUAGUUUUAUAUCUGUUUUAUUCUUGUCACACACCAUUAUAUUAUCAUUUACACCCCCGAGCCCUUCAAAUACAGGCUUAAUUUCAGCAUAAUACUCCUGAUUUGUUUAACUCCCCAUUGCACAGAAUUUAGGUAUUUCCCAGUUUGAGGGUGAAUUGGAAAUAAUGUUAUUAAAAACAUCAUCUUUAACGCCAUUCUAAACUUGCUUUUCUUCAUUAGGAGUGAAGGGUUUGUGUAACGGUCCUAUGUGUGAACCAGGUUUCUGCAUGAAGACGCUCUCACCUCCAUUGCUUCUUUCUUCCUGAGAGACACAGAAAGAGCACACAUGACUCGCCUGCUAGUUAUAAAAAAUCAUUCUCUCCGUCCGGUGGCUCCGCCAUGCAGCUACGAUGAGAGUACUGGUGACCAUGAGAGAAGCUGGUUGCUUGGUAUGAGGUUUUCAUUUUGGCAUUAGCAGGCCUGAAGCACUGCUGGAGACCUACCCAAGCCAGAGCUUCAGUGGGCCCAGCAUGAACCUGAGUGCAGGGGCACAUGAGAAAAAAAGAGGAUUUAGAAGAAACAGAUUUCCAGAGGAAGAACUGGGACAGAACAAACCAUGGCGAGACUGGAUCUUGGUGUAGCACUGCCAGAAAGCCUCGGGCUUGCAGUUCCUCUUCCUCUGCUGCUUCUGUAAGGAAAAUGCUGGAAGAAAAUAACCCAACAAACGAGACAUUUGGAAGCAUGUGAAGCUUUUUCUCAGAUAAGAAUGUUGGAUAUUCCUGUAGUCCAGGUAGUUUUGACCAUCAUUCUUAUGACUCUGGUGUAACCUCUGAGGAUGGUGAAGACACACCACAGCAGACUGACCCGAAAAUAUCAUGUACCUGGUUUACGUAGCAUGAUCAGCUUCACAGAGCUGCGAUUCCUCUAAGAACAAAGUGCCUUUUGAGGAAUUAUCUAGAUCAGACCUGCAAGUAGGCAUGAUUUUGGGAGAGUUGACUUGAUUAUUAAUUGAUGCAGAGGAACCAACAGACUAUGGGCAAUACCAUACCUACACAGGUGCCUGGGAUGUGUGGGAGCACUGGGAGUAAGCUGGAGAAGAAGCCAGCAAACAGCAUUUCGCCAUGGUCCCUGCCUCUAGGUUCCUGCCUUGAGUUCCUACCCUGACUUCCCUC